rnacentral:rRNA from 1 species
UACGUAGGGUGCAAGCGUUGUUCGGAAUUACUGGGCGUAAAGGGCGCGUAGGCGGCUUUGCAAGUCGGGUGUGAAAUCCCCAGGCUUAACCUGGGAACUGCAUCCGAGACUGCAUUGCUAGAGUAUGGGAGAGGGAAGUGGAAUUUCAGGUGUAGCGGUGAAAUGCGUAGAUAUCUGAAGGAACAUCAGUGGCGAAAGCGACUUCCUGGACCAAUACUGACGCUCAUGUGCGAAAGCGUGGGGAGCAAACAGG